rnacentral:rRNA from 1 species
UAAUACGGGGGGGGCGAGCGUUAUUCGGAAUUACUGGGCAUAAAGGGCGUUUAGGUGGUAUGGUUAGUUGUAGGUGAAAGCCCCGGGCUCAACCCGGGAAGUGCUUACAAUACUGCUGUACUUGAGGCCGGGAGAGGAGAGCGGAAUUCCUAGUGUAGCGGUGAAAUGCGUAGAUAUUAGGAGGAACACCAGUGGCGAAGGCGGCUCUCUGGACCGGUUCUGACACUGAAGCGCGAAAGCUAGGGGAGCAAACGGG